rnacentral:rRNA from 1 species
GAUGAACGCUGGCGGCGUGCCUAAUACAUGCAAGUCGAGCGAACAGACGAGGAGCUUGCUCCUCUGACGUUAGCGGCGGAAGGGUGAGUAACACGUGGAUAACCUACCUAUAAGACUGGGAUAACUUCGGGAAACCGGAGCUAAUACCGGAUAAUAUAUUGAACCGCAUGGUUCAAUAGUGAAAGACGGUUUUGCUGUCACUUCUAGAUGGAUCCGCGCCGCAUUAGCUAGUUGGUAAGGUAACGGCUUACCAAGGCGACGAUGCGUAGCCGACCUGAGAGGGUGAUCGGCCACACUGGAACUGAGACACGGUCCAGACUCCUACGGGAGGCAGCAGUAGGGAAUCUUCCGCAAUGGGCGAAAGCCUGACGGAGCAACGCCGCGUGAGUGAUGAAGGUCUUCGGAUCGUAAAACUCUGUUAUUAGGGAAGAACAAAUGUGUAAGUAACUAUGCACGUCUUGACGGUACCUAAUCAGAAAGCCACGGCUAACUACGUG